rnacentral:rRNA from 1 species
CCUACGGGAGCCAACAGUGAGGAAUAUUGGUCAAUGGCCGGAAGGCUGAACCAGCCAUGCCGCGUGAAGGUCAGUGCCCUAUGGGCGUUAAACUUCUUUUGUGCGGGAGCAAUAAUGGUCACGUGUGGCCAGACGAGAGUACCGUACGAAUAAGCAUCGGCUAACUCCGUGCCAGCAGCCGCGGUAAUACGGGGGAUGCAAGCGUUAUCCGGAUUUAUUGGGUUUAAAGGGUGCGUAGGCUGUGAGGUAAGUCAGCGGUGAAAUGCCCCCGCUCAACGGGGUGAAGUGCCAUUGAUACUGCCUGGCUGGAAUGCGGAUGCCGUGGGAGGAAUGUGUGGUGUAGCGGUGAAAUGCAUAGAUAUCACACAGAACACCGAUUGCGAAGGCAUCUCACGAAGCCGCGAUUGACGCUGAUGCACGAAAGCGUGGGUAUCAAACAGGAUUAGAUACCCGAGUAGUC